AAAAGACAUUAUUUUAUUCCCUAUAUAUAGACUAGAAAAUAAUCUUGCUACACACAACGAAGAUAGAAUAGAGAAGCAUGGAUAAAAGAUCAUAUGUCAUCAUUUUGCUACUAGUUGCCCUCUUCGUUUCUGAAAGUGAAAAGAUGAAGAUAAAUGCAGCGACAUGCUUUGAAAAUAUAUUUCACAAUACAACAACUUGCACUCCAGCGAACUGUACGAGCAAAUGCAAGUCAGCCGGAUACACAGGCGGCGAAUGUCAAGUCUUCAAUAUCUGCGUAUGUACUUUCCCGUGCUAGUCCAACUCACUCUAUUUAUAUAUUGGAGUUUGGAGUUGAAUAAAGCUAAUAAAAGUUGUUCUUUGGGUGUGCCA